GGGGGCAWYYCUGACCGARCACCGCCGCGUGAGUGAAGAAGGUUUUCGGAUCGUAAAGCUCUGUUGUAAGUCAAGAACGAGUGUGAGAGUGGAAAGUUCACACUGUGACGGUAGCUUACCAGAAAGGGACGGCUAACUACGUGCCAGCAGCCGCGGUAAUACGUAGGUCCCGAGCGUUGUCCGGAUUUAUUGGGCGUAAAGCGAGCGCAGGCGGUUUKWUAAGUCUGAAGUUAAAGGCUGUGGCUCAACCAUAGUUCGCUUUGGAAACUGUCAAACUUGAGUGCAGAAGGGGAGAGUGGAAUUCCAUGUGUAGCGGUGAAAUGCGUAGAUAUAUGGAGGAACACC
rnacentral:rRNA from 1 species